rnacentral:rRNA from 1 species
CUACGGGAUGCUCCAGUGAGGAAUUUUGCGCAAUGGGGGAAACCCUGACGCAGCAACGCCGCGUGAGUGAUGAAGGCUUUCGGGUCGUAAAGCUCUGUCAAGUGGGAAGAACCAACGAAGUGUUAAUACCACUUUGUACUGACGGUACCACUGAAGGAAGCACCGGCUAACUCCGUGCCAGCAGCCGCGGUAAUACGGGGGGUGCAAGCGUUAUUCGGAAUCAUUGGGCGUAAAGAGCACGUAGGCGGUUUUAUAAGUCAGAUGUGAAAGCCCGGGGCUUAACCUCGGAAGUGCAUUUGAAACUAUGAGACUUGAGUAUGGGAGAGGGAAGUGGAAUUCCUGGUGUAGAGGUGAAAUUCGUAGAUAUCAGGAGGAACACCGGUGGCGAAGGCGACUUCCUGGACCAAUACUGACGCUGAGGUGCGAAGGCGUGGGUAGCAAACAGGAUUAGAUACCCCCGUAGUC